rnacentral:rRNA from 1 species
UGGGGAAUAUUGCACAAUGGGCGCAAGCCUGAUGCAGCCAUGCCGCGUAUAUGAAGAAGGCCUUCGGGUUGUAAAGUACUUUCAGCGGGGAGGAAGGUGUUGAGGCUAAUAACCUCAGCAAUUGACGUUACCCGCAGAAGAAGCACCGGCUAACUCCGUGCCAGCAGCCGCGGUAAUACGGAGGGUGCAAGCGUUAAUCGGAAUUACUGGGCGUAAAGCGCACGCAGGCGGUCUGUCAAGUCGGAUGUGAAAUCCCCGGGCUCAACCUGGGAACUGCAUUCGAAACUGGCAGGCUAGAGUCUUGUAGAGGGGGGUAGAAUUCCAGGUGUAGCGGUGAAAUGCGUAGAGAUCUGGAGGAAUACCGGUGGCGAAGGCGGCCCCCUGGACAAAGACUGACGCUCAGGUGCGAAAGCGUGGGGAGCAAACA